rnacentral:rRNA from 1 species
AUAUUGGACAAUGGGGGCAACCCUGAUCCAGCCAUGCCUUGUGUGUGAAGAAGGUCUUCGGAUUGUAAAGCACUUUAAGUUGGGAGGAAGGGCUUUAGGUUAAUACCUUGAAGCUUUGACGUUACCAACAGAACAAGCACCUGCUAACCCUGUGCCAGCAGCCGCGGUAGUACAGAGGGUGCAAGCGUUAAUCGGAAUUACUGGGCGUAAAGCGCGCGUAGGUGGUUCAGUAAGAUGGGUGUGAAAUCCCCGGGCUUAAACUGGGAACUGCUUUCAUAACUGCUGAGCUAGAGUACGGUAGAGGGUAGUGGAAUUUCCUGUGUAGCGGAGAAAUGCGUAGAUAUAGGAAGGAACACCAGUGGCGAAGGCGACUACCUGGACUGAUACUGACACUGAGGUGCGAAAGCGUGGGGAGCAAAC